rnacentral:lncRNA from 1 species
GCCAUACUAAAAACUUCAAAAAGCCCUUUGAUUGAAACAUUUGGAUAAAUGCUCAGAUGUCAAUACAUCUCCUAAGAGCAUUAGAAAGCGGUCCUUGUUAAUACUCUUACUUACACUGUUAAAGGAGAAUCUUACUUCCUGAGAACCAGACUAAAUCAUCGUGUUUUUCACUUCACCUUGCUUAAAUAAACAGAGCUGCCAAAAUCUGAUGGAUCUUUCAUAACGCCAGUACUAAAAAGCUUAGUAUAAGCAUGUGAAAAUUCAAAAUUUUCAGGCUUCCCUUAAAAAGUAGGUUUGGCCUUUGUUCUUGUCUUCCUCAAUAACUUGGAUCUGAAUGCUGCAUUAUUUUCCAGCUACAACCUAAGAAUGGUUUACAUUAUCAAAAAACUUUACCUAUGGGAGAAAUAGACAGCACAAGCAAACUAUAUUUGUGGAAAAGUGGACUCCUGAUUAAAUAAAAACAGAUCUUAAAAAGAGGAUGUAGAAGCCUGGGAUUUUGAGAAAGGAUCAGAGGGACUAUCACGAAGAGUUUAAAUAUGGGACACAGAUGAAGACGUAAAUAAGUUACGGCGAUAAUUUGUCAAGAGUUCCAGCUGUCGAUCUUCACCAGAUGAAUCUUCUCCAAUUACUGGCGGGAGUAUUUGACCCACCAGGCGACUUCCCUGAGUUGAACCACUUUUCUAAUGAUUCUAACUGUGGACAGUCCAAGUUGGCCAUAUGAGAAUUUGAACACGGCGGUGAUUUCUGAACAGUGUAGAUCAUGUCCAUGUGUCUGGCUGGACUUGUUUGCCCUGUGUCCAUUCCUUCAGCCUAAUUGAUUGUGACUCAAGUGGUAUUCUUUUGAAAGAUGAGGCCCAGACGGCAGUGGGUGAUGUCUUCAAUUUCCAACCAAAGGGCCCUAAAGGAGCCAGAACGGAUUUCCAGGUAAGUUUUCUUCCCAUCAGAGCAUGCUGUGUCCUAUCUUGACCUCCAUCUUGUUCUUGGAUAUGGAACCAAGACCUUAAAUAGCUUUCAAAUCCCUCAAAAUAUUCAAGCAAAAACAGUAUUUAUAAUAUAGAAAGUCAGGAACUGAUAAUCCCAUCCAUACUAUUUUAUUUUCAAAUGUUUUCUUUUCUCUAUUUCAGUAGGUAUUCAGCAGACAUUACUCUUUUCCAAUGUAUAUUUACAUGUACAUUCUCCAGUAUAUAUUUAGUGUUGAACCUUUAGAAGGCAUGAGUUAAAACUUCCCAUAGGAAAUAAUAGCCAAUAAACCAGCUAGCUGUGUCCAGAUAGUCGGGGUAGGCCCAGCUGAACUUGAAGCCUGCACAGUCAUUGGAAUUUGAAUGUCGCCCUGUAUCAACAAACUGAGCAAGAUCCAUGACUUCCUGCAUGUGAGUUAUUCCUAAAAACACCAAAUGUUCCAUUUUUCUCAUGACUUCACACACCAAGAGGAUUCAGAAAGAGCCUUAAACCAAAAGAACGUACCUAUAAUGGAAGGCAGCCUCUCCUGGGAGACAAGUGGUCGUAGGAACCUUCUUUUUACUCCUCGGUUCACACCCUGUAGUCACCAUAAAAUUGCAACAUUUGAGCCAGAACAAUUUAUCUCAGGAACUAAUUGAAAACUAGACCAAGAAAAGAAGAAGUAAAAACAACUGGAAUUUUCCCUCUCUCACUGUAAAAAUAAAUGUCAUUCUCCCAUGACCAUGUGUGACUCCAUGAGAACUUCCAGUUAAUGCAGAUGUUGCCAAAUUUGCUACUAACUGGUGAAACGGAACAGGUAAAUAACAAAUCCCAGAGUGAUGUAACUGGUGGAGUUGAAAAGCAGAUAACAUAAUGUUAAGAAUAGCAAUUGUUCAUGAAGUAAUACUCUUGAUAUAAUGAAGAAAGACAUUUAAAGGGACAAUAAAGUAAAAUGCUGAGUUUAAGGAAAGAAAAACACUCACUUUACUGAUGGACAUAAAAUAAGAGUUGAAAAAUGUAGUGGUAGGC